rnacentral:rRNA from 1 species
ACGGGUGAUAAUACUUAGGAAUCUACCUAGUAGUGGGGGAUAGCUCGGGGAAACUCGAAUUAAUACCGCAUACGACCUACGGGAGAAAGGGGGCAACUUGUUGCUCUCGCUAUUAGAUGAGCCUAAGUCGGAUUAGCUAGAUGGUGGGGUAAAGGCCUACCAUGGCGACGAUCUGUAGCUGGUCUGAGAGGAUGAUCAGCCACACCGGGACUGAGACACGGCCCGGACUCCUACGGGAGGCAGCAGUGGGGAAUAUUGGACAAUGGGGGCAACCCUGAUCCAGCCAUGCCGCGUGUGUGAAGAAGGCCUUUUGGUUGUAAAGCACUUUAAGCAGUGAAGAAGACUCCGUGGUUAAUACCCACGGACGAUGACAUUAGCUGCAGAAUAAGCACCGGCUAACUCUGUGCCAGCAGCCGCGGUAAUACAGAGGGUGCAAGCGUUAAUCGGAAUUACUGGGCGUAAAGCGAGCGUAGGUGGCUUGAUAAGUCAGAUGUGAAAUCCCCGGGCUUAACCUGGGAACUGCAUCUGAUACUGUUAGGCUAGAAUAGGUGAGAGGAAGGUAGAAUUCCAGGUGUAGCGGUGAAAUGCGUAGAGAUCUGGAGGAAUACCGAUGGCGAAGGCAGCCUUCUGGCAUCAUAUUGACACUGANGUUCGAAAGCGUGGGUAGCAAACAGGAUUAGAUACCCUGGUAGUCCACGCCGUAAACGAUGUCUACUAGUCGUUGGGUCCCUUGAGGACUUAGUGACGCAGCUAACGCAAUAAGUAGACCGCCUGGGGAGUACGGCCGCAGGUUAAAACUCAAAUGAAUUGACGGGGGCCCGCACAAGCGGUGGAGCAUGGGUUUAAUUCGAUGCAACGCGAAAACUUACCUGGCUUGAUAUCUAGAAUCCUGCAGAAUGCGGGAGUGUUCGGGAAUUAAUACGCUGCAUGGCGUCAGCUC